rnacentral:rRNA from 1 species
GGACCCGCACAAGUAGUGGAGCAUGUGGUUUAAUUCGAAGAUACGCGCAGAACCUUACCAACACUUGACAUGUUCGUCGCGACUCUAAGAGAUUAGAGUUUUCGGUUCGGCCGGACGAAACACAGGUGCUGCAUGGCUGUCGUCAGCUCGUGUCGUGAGAUGUUGGGUUAAGUCCCGCAACGAGCGCAACCCUCACUUUUAGUUGCCAUCAUUAAGUUGGGCACUCUGAAAGAACUGCCAGUGAUAAGCUGGAGGAAGGUGGGGAUGACGUCAAGUCCUCAUGGCCCUUACGUGUUGGGCUACACACGUGCUACAAUGGUAUCUACAACAGGAAGCAAGACCGCGAGGUUUAGCAAAUCCUUAAAAGAUACCUCAGUUCGGAUUGCACUCUGCAACUCGAGUGCAUGAAGCUGGAAUUACUAGUAA